rnacentral:rRNA from 1 species
UACGGAGGGUGCAAGCGUUAUCCGGAUUUACUGGGUUUAAAGGGUGCGCAGGCGGAUAUGUAAGUCAGUGGUGAAAUCUCUAGGCUUAACCUGGAAAUUGCCGUUGAUACUAUAUAUCUUGAAUGCUGUGGAGGUAAGCGGAAUAUGUCAUGUAGCGGUGAAAUGCUUAGAUAUGACAUAGAACACCAAUUGCGAAGGCAGCUCACUACACAAAGAUUGACACUGAGGCACGAAAGCGUGGGGAUCAAACAGG